AAAUUAUGAUGAGGACACCUCCUCAAAAGCUCUCCAAACCGCUCCCAUGUCUCUAAUAAGGAUUUUGCUUUCAUAUUGUUAGAGGCAACAUAUCUCUGUCAUAAGCUU